rnacentral:lncRNA from 1 species
ACAAAGUUAAGCACCAUUUUAAUUGACUAAUUGAGUAAACACUAUUGACUAUAUAUUCAUUCUUAAAAAUAUCUAGUCCAAAGAUAGUCACAAGUAAUUCAAAGAAAAUAUGAGUAAUCGUAUGGUCAAAAAUCCUUUUCAUAUUUUUCUAUGUUGUGACUUCUCAUCUCUUCACAACGCAAGCAGAGGCAAACAAAUUCGAGUACGAUGGAACAUGGAAAAUCGAGGUAAACACAACUAAAAACGCUUGUAUUUGGGGCCGAACUAAUUGCAAUUUCAACACAUUAGGAUGGUUUCAACAUCCCAGUAGAAUUUUGUCCAUAAAUUUACAAAUGAAUAAAACACAUAAGUUUCUUGAAUUGCUACUUCUAAAUUAGGAUGUUUGAAAUUUCUAUGUAAGUUUGGUUUACAUCAUUAUUACUAUCUAUUGAGCUAAAAAAUCAUUGAGAAGUACUUCAUUAUUAUUGGAAAUGAAAGAAUAUGAGGUGUCAUUUUGUUAUUGGAUAAAACCGAGCUAUACAGUAGGACCAAUCAAGAUUUGACACAUGAUAAUAUGUGUGGGGUUUUAAAGGAUGGUGACUUUACGAAAGGUUAUGCCUUUUUUAAAGGAUUGUGAUCGACCUUUUUGAAAGAUUGUCUUUUUGCGAAAAAGUUGUGACUUUUAUCAUCUCUGUUGGUUGUUGGUCAUUAAUAGGAAGACUUUCUCUCAUUUUUCUGCAUCGAAUUUUUCCUUUCUUUUGUAUAAAUUUCUUAGAAAACAAAAUCAAUCGAUUGUGUCUGUGUGUGAUCUCGUUUUGUUGUCCUUUAGAGUUCGAUGAAAUUAUCGAAGUUUGAGAUACCGCCACUUCUUUAAUAGUUAAUCUGUUUUAUCUUUGGAAGAAUUAAUCUACAACAUCGAUUGCUUGAAGGUAUUAAAAAUUAUAAGAAUACAGUGAAUUUUGUGGAUUCAAAGAGUUUUUUUUCUUUCAUCUUUUAUUAUUUCUGAUUUACUAAUCUGGAUACAUGGGCUGAAAAUAGAAACCUAAUACCAACGAAGCCUCCAGUAACUUCUUAUUAUUCAUAAGUAUCUUUUUGCCCUAGUUCUUACAUUUUAGUACCUCAUAUUUCUUAUAAUUCUUUGCUAAGUUAUUAUUUUCAAGUCAAUGAAUUAGCAUGCCUAAUAAAAUACAAUUAGUGAAUAGAGAAGGCUAGAUUAAGUAGUCAAGAGAAGUUAGGAGCAAAAAUUAACCACGCAAACAAAUUGCGUAUUUGGCUCGAAUAAAGCUACAUCAAGCAGGGACGGAGCUAGAGUAUAGAUUAUAUAUGGAUUUGAUCGAACUUAGUAAUGAUUUUGGAUCAAAUCUUAUAUUUAUCUCAAUUAAAUAUGUGAAUGUUAUUAAUUUAGAAUUCAACAAUUUGGAAAAAUUAAAUUUUAGACUUCUGGCUCUGCAUCGAUUAACAAAGACUUGUCUAUUGAAGUUAUUGAAAAGGGAUGAAAUUGUUUUGUAUAAGACGUGGCAUGUUCAAUUCAUUUAAGUUUGAGCUGAUUAUUAAGUAAUCAUAAAUUUAACUUUUCGUGUUUCUUACAUAAUUUCAAACUUCGUUCACGAUAUAUUUGAUAUUUAAGUUCAAUAUAUAUGUUAAAUUAGCUUAAUCAAGUUCCAUUCAUCAUGAGACUAAGAUUUGUAUAAUUCGGUCGAAGUUUAAGCAUAUAAUAUAUUUCUUAUAACCUAUCACUUCUCGUAAAAAAAAGAGUUAGAUUUACUCUUUUUUUUUAAGAAUUCUAAGUUCGUCCUGUUUUGAAUUUUUUUUACAUUAUAGGUAAAAAUGAUAAUUUCUUUCACCAAAAUAAUCAUUUUUGUUAAGAGAUAUAUCCAACUUUUUGUAAGUUGAUAUAAGCAAAUCAAUCAUUCCUUUUUGGCUCAGCUUAAAAGCUGGUCAAACUGACUUAAAAGCUGGUUUUUGACUUAUUUAACUGUUUGACAAUACUCAAAAUAACUUAUUUUAAGUUAAAAAGAACUUAUUUUAAGCCAAAAGUUAAAAGCUGGGGUAGGGGUGUUUUUUUUUUUAGCUUAUAAGCUGUUUUAAGUUGACCAUAUUUUUAUGUUUUUACCCUUAAUAUUUUUAUACAAUCUUCAAAUUACCCAUAUAACCCUAACAUCUCUUUCUUCUAUUUUUCCCUUUUCACGUUUGGCAUAACAACUUCGGCACUUUUAUCCAAACGCAUAACUGCUUAUUUUAGAAAUAAGUUUCAGCAUUUUCAAAAGUACUUUUUUAAAGCUGCUUUUAUUCAAGGGGACAAUUAGAAAUAUAUUUGAAUUUUGAUCGAAAUUAUUGUAAUAAUAUCAAAUUUUAGAAAAAAAAAUAUAUCCCUACACUAUUUAAUAGUAUAUUUUAUAUUUUAAUCAAAAUUGAUGUAACAAUAUCAAAUUUUAGAAAAUAUUUUUCACCCUCGCACUAUUUAAUAGUAUAUUUUAAAGAUAUAUAUGUGUCAUAUGGACAUUAAAAUAAUGCAUUAUUACAUAGAAUAUGUCCACGUGAGCACAUAUAUACCUUUAAAAUACACUUUUAAAUAGUAUAGGAGGUAUAAAGUCCUUCAUAAAAUUUAAUUUCAUAACAGUAAUUUCGACUAAAAUUAAAGUAUUUUUCCAACCUUUAUUCCUAACAAUUAUUUUUCUCUUUCCUUGUAGAUAUGAUUAAUUAGCUUUGUUUCUUGAACGCCCUCAACAUCGAAGAGGACAUUUAAUGUACAUAAUUUUUAAAUUAAUCUCGUUAAUAUGUUAGUUAAAGAGUACUUUUAAUACUUUUUUUUAGCCAAAUAAACCUUUGAAAUGGAAUUUAGGUGGG